rnacentral:rRNA from 1 species
CCUACGGGGGGCUGCAGUGGGGAAUAUUGGGCAAUGGGCGCAAGACUGACCCAGCAACGCCGCGUGAAGGAAGAAGGCUUUCGGGUUGUAAACUUCUUUUAAGAGGGAAGAGCAGAAGACGGUACCUCUUGAAUAAGCCACGGCUAACUACGUGCCAGCAGCCGCGGUCAUACGUAGGUGGCAAGCGUUGUCCGGAUUUACUGGGUGUAACGGGCGUGCAGCCGGGAAGACAAGUCAGAUGGGAAAUCCCGCGGCUCAACCGCGGAACUGCAUUUGAAACUGUUUUUCUUGAGUACCGGAGAGGUCAUCGGAAUUCCUUGUGUAGCGGUGAAAUGCGUAGAUAUAAGGAAGAACACCAGGGGCGAAGGCGGAUGACUGGACGGCAACUGACGGUGAGGCGCGAAAGCGUGGGGAGCAAACAGGAUUAGAUACCCGGGUAGUC